GAUGAACGCUAGCGGCAGGCUUAAUACAUGCAAGUCGUGGGGCAGCGCAGGUAGCAAUACUGGGCGGCGACCGGCAAACGGGUGCGGAACACGUACACAACCUUCCGAGAAGUGGGGAAUAGCCCAGAGAAAUUUGGAUUAAUACCCCGUAACAUAACGAUGUGGCAUCACAUUGUUAUUAUAGCUUCGGCGCUUCUUGAUGGGUGUGCGGCUGAUUAGAUAGUUGGCGGGGUAACGCCCACCAAGUCUACGAUCAGUAGCUGAUGUGAGAGCAUGAUCAGCCACACGGGCACUGAGACACGGGCCCGACUCCUACGGGAGGCAGCAGUAAGGAAUAUUGGUCAAUGGACGCAAGUCUGAACCAGCCAUGCCGCGUGAAGGAUUAAGGUCCUCUGGAUUGUAAACUUCUUUUAUCUGGGACGAAAAAAGGCGAUUCUUCGUCACUUGACGGUACCAGAUGAAUAAGCACCGGCUAACUCCGUGCCAGCAGCCGACGG
rnacentral:rRNA from 1 species